rnacentral:lncRNA from 1 species
GCAGGCGGGGGCGCAGGAAGACAGCUGAUGUGGGGCUGGUCAGCCCGGCUCUGCAGUCUCAUCGCCAUAUCCCAUCUGGAGCUAUGAGAAGCAGAAACCUGGCAGCUUCCGAGGCAAAUGAAAAGCCAACCUUCCUCAAAUUGUUUUAUUUAAAGCCAGACUCCUGACUGUUUGAAGCCGCUUGAUUUUGGCAGUACUUGUUCCCGUUUCUUCUUCCUCGCUGCUUUUAAACAGCCCUCAGAGAUAACAGGAACACGUCGUUGCCCGCGCCUCGCUUGCAGAUGCUCAGAAGACCUCUGCCUCUCCCCACCCCCGCCGGCUGCUCGGAGCUGCAGCUGGGUGGCGCGCCUGUGAGCGUGGGCGCGGGGACGCGGCUGGGUUGGAGCAAGGCAGGGAGCCUGGAACUGAUCUGCACCUGAAGCAUAGGAAGCCACCUGCCUGGUCUUCACAGCGAAAGGGAAGAAUUUCAGCUACAACCAGAGAGUCACCCUUCCAUACUUGGCUGGAGAGUAAAGUAGAGGCAACUGGCCAGAAUUAAAGAAGCAGAGACAAAGCAACCCGAAUAUUCAUCAAUGGAUGACUAAGUAAAUAAAAUGUGGUAAUACACACUAUGGAAUAUUAUUCAGUCUUUAAAAGGAAUGAAAUCCUGACACAUGCUGCAACAUGGAUGAACUUUAAAGACAUUAUACUAAAUGAAAUAAGCCAGACACAAAAGGACAAGAGUGCCAUGAGUCUGCUUAAGUAAGCUUCCAAGGGUAGUCAGAGCCACAGAGAUGGAAAGUAAAAUGGUGGCUGCCAGAGCCUGGGGGAAGGGGAAGGAGUAUUAUUGUUUAAAACUAUAGAGUUUCAGUUUGGGAAAAUGGAAACUUUCUGGACAUGGAUGGCGGAUGGUUGCAUGACAGGGUGCAUGCAUAUAAUGCCACUAAACUGUACCCUUGAAAGUGGUUAAAGUGGUAAGUUUUAUGUUAUAUAUACUUUAUCACAAGAAAACAAAGGAGGAAAAGGAAAGAGGGCAAAGCUGUUUAAAUUCCUUUUGCCAAGUGACAUACUGGCUACUGGCCAUGUUCAAAAUGUAGACAUAUAGUUCUAGUCCAAAGUCAUGUUCCAAGGUAAAGGAGUGGUGAUUCUCACAUACAGUUGGAAAUAGCAUUUAAAUACUUCUAUUCCAGUUUCCCCCUCCCACUGGACCUGCUCUUAAGACUAUCAAGCUCCGGUUAGGUAGAG